UUAAUCAUAUGUUGGUUGAGAACAACUUCAAGCUGGUCAUAUAGCCCUUGGAACACCCCCAUUUUUGUUAUUAAGAAAAAAUCAGGUAGUUGGAGGUUAUUACAGGAUCUGAGGGCAAUAAAUCAUGCAAUUCAGCCUAUAGGAUCAUUACAGUCUGAACUUCCUUCUCCUACAGCUAUUCCUUCAGAUUAUAGUUUAAUAGUAAUAGACCUGAAAGGUUGUUUCUUUUCAAUAAAAUUACAUCCUGAGGAUUGCAAAAAAUUUGCUUUCAG
rnacentral:sRNA from 1 species